AUAGUAGUGCCGUCAUAAUAAAAUUAUAAAACAAAUUGGGCAAGCAGUUUUUUCUAUCGGGCAAGCAAAUUUUUUCAUCACUUGCCCGACAGGGCAAGUGACAGAAUUUUUUUUUGUAGAGGCCUGGAUGUAUGGACCACUUUUUGAGUCUCUGGUUUUUUAAAAGGCAACCCUAAAACAAUCAUGAAUGGAAAAGAAAUGGAGGAAGUGAAGUAUGAUCUGUCAAAGAGCGCAGAGAAGACGGUUGAUGGGAGCUUACCUGAGAAAGAGGGUAAGGCUACCGUUAAAAGGGAACAUUGGAGUAAUAAAAUGGACUUCAUUCUCUCCUGUCUUGGAUGGGCGGUAGGUCUUGGUAAUGUCUGGAGAUUCCCCUAUCUUUGCUACAGGAAUGGAGGAGGUGCUUUUCUUGUACCUUAUUUCCUCAUGUUGGCAUUGAGUGGACUCCCUUUGUUCUUAAUGGAACUUGGUCUUGGACAGUUUGCUAGUCGGGGUGUCAUUCAGAUAUGGUGUAUGGCUCCAGCGUUUAAAGGUAUGUGUUAACACACAGUCAUCAACCACACCAGUUAUAAAAUUGAUAGGGUACAUGUAUUUAAUUGUUUUAUGCAAAAUUCAAGGGUAAAUUUGCAACUUUGAUAACAUGGAAUGGUCAAACAGUCAGAAAAAAUACACAGUGACAAGAUUAGCCAAAUCACAGUGUAUGAGCUCUAUCUGACUUGAUCGCGCAAGCACAAAACUAACCGCACAUAGAGUUGAAUGACACUACUGUAGACACACUGUAGCUUUGUUGUCUUCCAAAUAAAAAAAAUAUUUUGUUUUAAUUAUUGCAGCUAUAUGCAGAGUAAAAUUAUGUACUUUUAGUAGGACUGUUGUCGAUAACCUCUUUAUCGCUAGUCUUGUCGUUAAUCGCUUGUUUUUUGCCACUUAGCGAUAUUGAUAACCUUUCUCUCGUUGUCGAUAAUACCCAUUAUUAUGUACAUAUAGGGACAUGACAGGGAUUUUCCGCGAUUUCACGGAAACGGCCUUUUGAAAGUGGCUUUUCAAGCGGAAAAUGUAUUUUUCCUAAAAAUGCACAGAAUAGCAACGGAUAUUACUCCACAAUCUCAACAAAAUAUGAAUAUUUACUAGCCACAAAACACGAUCUCACUUAGCUAUAUAGCAAUCCAAACAUCGUGACUGCACUCGACUCCAUUCGAUCGUAUAAAAAAAAAUUCACAAGCGCGAGCUCAAUUUUAUCGAAGUACCAACGUAGAAGGCAGCACAGAUGUACAGCACAAUAUCAAAAUGGCGGAUAGGCGAAAGACGUUGACUGCUCAGAACAAUGUCCAAAAAGCCCCAAAAUCGAUAUCGGUAAGAUAUUUUUAGCGAUUUUAGCACAAUUAUAAUGUUGUACAGAACUACACGCCAAGCCUUAAUAUGUAAAGGGGGAAAUUCACUCUAACUUCAUAAAAGCAUGGUUUUGAUAAAAGCAAAAAAAUUGGAGGAAUGAAUUAGGAUUUGGCAAAAAUUCAUGAAAAAAUAUUAGUUUUUGUUUAUGACGUGAUAUGGGACCAGCUCCCCAAAUGUUGAGUGAUUAUAAUUUUGAUAAAGUGAUAUCGUCAGAAAACUGAAAAUGAUUUUCCCUGUUAGUUCAAUCUGUCACCAGACAACUGAUAUCAGACACACUUGCAUGAUCAUUUUUUUUUUUAGAUAUCCUGAGCCAUCAGAAAUUUGAAUUUAUCAUAAUUAUAUCACAUGAUAUAAGGGGUAGCUGCUCACAGGUACAUGUAACAUCACAGUAUAAACAUUUAAAUACAAUUCUAAAAAAGAGUAUUUUCUUUUCAAACCAGGCAGUCAGUAAUACAUGUUUCCAUCAUUGUGUUUUCCACCCAAAUAUGCAUCCUAAAGUUAUUCAGUUACUAAAAAAAAUGAGUAAGAUCCACAGCAGACAUCGUGAGUACCAUCACGCUCCAGUUGGGUGGGGGGGAACAAUGUGUAUUCCUAUUCUUUAGGCCUAUACAUUGUUAUUCUCCUUUCACAAGGGGUUCACUUCCAUUGACAAGUGAUAUCAUGCGUGUCCGAAAAAACGCUUCAAAAGUGUAUCAGUGGAAGAUACAGCACGUUACCGUAAUACAGGUGUCCAAAACAUAACAAAUUCUUUUUGUGUGGCAAUUAUGUGAUUGGGGUUUGAUUUCAAGGG